AUUGAACGCUGGCGGCAUGCCUUACACAUGCAAGUCGAACGGUAACGCGGGGCAACCUGGCGACGAGUGGCGAACGGGUGAGUAAUGCAUCGGAACGUGCCCAGUAGUGGGGGAUAGCCCGGCGAAAGCCGGAUUAAUACCGCAUACGACCUACGGGUGAAAGGGGGGGAUCGCAAGACCUCUCGCUAUUGGAGCGGCCGAUGUCAGAUUAGGUAGUUGGUGGGGUAAAGGCCUACCAAGCCGACGAUCUGUAGCUGGUCUGAGAGGACGACCAGCCACACUGGGACUGAGACACGGCCCAGACUCCUAUGGGAGGCAGCAGUGGGGAAUUUUGGACAAUGGGCGCAAGCCUGAUCCAGCCAUGCCGCGUGCGGGAAGAAGGCCUUCGGGUUGUAAACCGCUUUUGUCAGGGAAGAAAAGCUCUGGGCUAAUACCCCGGGGUGAUGACGGUACCUGAAGAAUAAGCACCGGCUAACUACGUGCCAGCCGCCGCCGUAA
rnacentral:rRNA from 1 species